rnacentral:ncRNA from 2 species
AAUAAUAAUUACCACAUAAGGAAAGCAGGGUGAAAAUCCCACACUGGUCCGCAGCCGUUAAAGUCGGAAUGCUUGUAUGGUA